rnacentral:lncRNA from 1 species
CAACUGUGUUCGGGCAAGCCUUCUACAUUGAAGAGAUAGGUACUCCUGCUGAUGAGCACCUUGAAGAGUUACCACCUGAGGACGACGAGGAGGGAGCAUCUCCCUCUACUCAUCCCCCAUAAAAGGUAACCCACCACACUCCCUUGUAUAUACCAGUUCAUAUUUUGCACUUUAUUUGUCUUUUGGAUAUCUCUCUCUCACUCACACAGAGACUGUGUGAUUUAAGUGUGGGGGAGGUACCAAGUAUUUGAUCACGUUUGCUUUGAUGUUGUUUCAUUGAGUCAUGCAUUGCAUACCUAUUUGCAUAAAAAACAAUCAUUUAGUUUGCAUCAUUUGCAUUUCUAGGAGAGUCUAGAGCAUAUAUGUUGCAUUUACUUGCAUUGGGAGCAAUGAUUUGAAUGCCUUGUAAAGAACAUUACCUUGCACCUGAGUAGCUUAUACACCUCUCAAAAAGACUUGUAUGCUUCGAGUCUUGAACACUUUUCCUGAAACUUGUUGAUUGCUGAAACUCAACCUUUGAAGCCAACUACAACCUUGUUUGAACUGAACGAACUUAAUGCUUCUUACUUAUGUUCCCUUGUGUACUGAGUCAUGGAUAUACACACUUGAGUUGUCACA